GAUGAACGCUGGCGGCGUGCCUAAUACAUGCAAGUCGAGCGAACGGACGAGAAGCUUGCUUCUCUGAUGUUAGCGGCGGACGGGUGAGUAACACGUGGAUAACCUACCUAUAAGACUGGGAUAACUUCGGGAAACCGGAACUAAUACCGGAUGAUAUUUUGAACCGCAUGGUUCAAAAGUGAAAGACGGUCUUGCUGUCACUUAUAGAUGGAUCCGCGCUGCAUUAGCUAGUUGGUAAGGUAACGGCUUACCAAGGCAACGAUGCAUAGCCGACCUGAGAGGGUGAUCGGCCACACUGGAACUGAGACACGGUCCAGACUCCUACGGGAGGCAGCAGUAGGGAAUCUUCCGCAAUGGGCGAAAGCCUGACGGAGUAACGCCGCGUGAGUGAUGAAGGUCUUCGGAUCGUAAAACUCUGUUAUUAGGGAAGAACAUAUGUGUAAGUAACUGUGCACAUCUUGACGGUACCUAAUCAGAAAGCCACGGCUAACUACGUG
rnacentral:rRNA from 1 species